GGGAAAGAUCGCGCGCGUAUCAUCGCUUGCGCGCGCUGCAAUGAGCCCGAGGCACGUUCUGCAUGACGUGUGCUUCAUAUACAUACAAAGUAUCUCGAGCGAAACAAUUAAAAGCCAUUGUAAGCACUGACAUGACAGCCGAUAGCUGUCUGUCAGUGCGCAUGGUGCGUGUGCACGUCUAUUUUUGUGUGCGUCUUGAAGAGAUCGCAAAUCGUAGAUCGCACGUUACGGAACGUUCAACGAGAUCCAUCCGACCGCGUCUGAUGGAAAAAUGAUCUGUAUGAUAAUUGCGUGACAGUUAAAUAAGAUUUUCGCAGACGAGAAAAAUAUACAGAGAUAUAAUUAGAAUUCCAUAAAUAAAUGUGUUGCACGUUCGUUACUGCCGUUACUGCAUGUUAUGCAAUUUGCGUUGGCCUUGCGGUUAUCAUCGCGUGACCCCCAUAUUAAACGAGCGACUUGUAAUGACAGUGAAUGGAACGACCGAUGCUUCUGCUUCUAUGACGAAUGUCUAGCGAACUUUCGAACGGAAAAAUAGCAUUAUGCAAACUGCGAAGAAAAUAUAAAAAUAUUAUAUACAGAUUCGACACAGGAGUGUAACGCCAUGCCGUACUUGUCAGUGCUAAAAUAAUGCUGGAUCAGUAUUGGGUAAAUAAUUGGACCAGCAUUGGGCCAAGAAGUGGUCCCGUAUUGGGUAAAUAACUGGACCAGCAUUGGGUCAAGACAAAAGUAGCAAGACAUUAUUAGUUCUCAUUUAGCGGACAACACUCCUGUUAAGGAAUUCCUACAAGAGAGAACAGUGGUUCUCCAAAAAGUAAAACGAUUCAACAAACUUCAGCUGAGCUUUCACAAUCUACAGAGUCUUUAAGAAAUUUUACAAGAAGAGGAACCGAAAAAAUUUGUAGAACGUCUUCUGAUAGAGAUGAAGUCGAUGAAGAAGAAGAUAAAAUGGAUAAUAACACAAUUUACUCACAAAUAUUCGGAAGUAAUAAAGAACCUUUACAAGUGAAGACAUUUGAGGCUGCGAUCAAAGGUGUCAUUAAUAAUACAACAGACUGAGCUGGUGGACGUUCGAGGCGUCAAAAAAAAAACGAAACAAUUAAAACGAAUAUCUGAUACUGAAGAUGAGAUAUAAAAUUUUUUAAUCAUUCAACUAUUGUAGAGUAAAUAAGGUAGAUAAUAAGGUAGAUAAUUAUAAGUAUUUCAGGUGCAAAGAUAAAGAUAAAUGUUUUUUUAUGUUAAAAAUUUAUGUUGAAAAUACCAAAGUAUGUAAUUAAUAUUUUUUGGCGCGUAGUGAAAUAGAUUCCAAAAAUGAGUAACCAUGCAGUUACUAUAAUUAAUAAGAAAUCUUAUCCGACCACCUGAUAAACAUUGCCAGUACAUCGCGAAAUUAAGAAUUUGUACUCAUUUUAAUAUUUUUUGUUGAUAUUAUAAAAUUUGAUUUAUGUUAAGAACAAUGUAAUGAAUACGUAAUAAUAUGUAAUAAUAAAAAAAUAGAAAUAUAUAGUAUUUUUAUUCCG